AUUGAACGCUGGCGGCAGGCUUAACACAUGCAAGUCGAACGAGAGGCGGACGGGUGAGUAAUGCUUGGGAAACUAGCUUAGGGAGGGGGAUAACUACGGGAAACUGUAGCUAAUACCGCGUACUAUAGGAUGAGCCGAAGUUGGAUUAGGUAGUUGGGGAGGUAAAGGCUGACCAAGCCGACGAUCUCUAGCUGGUCUGAGAGGAUGACCAGCCACACUGGGACUGAGCCACGGCCCAGACUCCUACGCGAGGCAGCAGUGGAGAAUAUUGCGCAAUGGAGGCGACCUGACGCUGCCAUGCCGCGUGAAUGAAGAAGGCCUUCGGGUUGUAAAGUUCUUUCGGUAGCGAGGCGUUAACUACAGAAGAAGCACCGGCUAACUCCGUGCCAGCCGCCGCGGUAAUUC
rnacentral:rRNA from 1 species